UGGCUGACGAACUCUCUACUGCAGGUGCCCAGUCACAAACUCUAAACUCAUUAUUAAGAUCCUGAGUGGUCUAGGACUAGCAUUUCGUGGUAUUUCUGUUGCAACCCGUGCUCGUGACUCCACUAUUACGUAUGAAUAACUCUAUGAGAAGCUUCUUGACCAUAAGCUUUUCCUUAGACAUGGAGAGUCAAAGAAAGCUUCUAACCAGAUUACUGUUGCUGUUGCUUCAUUCAACAAAUCUGGAAACUCGAACAAUCAUCGCUCCAACAAUAACAAUGGCAGCAACCAACAAUGGUGAUACAACAAUCGCUUCAAUUUACAGAAUUAGGGGUGAUCUUCGGACACCAAUAACUCUUAUGAUGGUGUUCGCUGCCAGUUGUGCAACAAACCAGGUCAUGUUGCAAGUGAAUGCAAAUCCAAAUCUCACAAUCAUUUUGAGGCCAAGGCAAACUAUGUUUUGGGAAUGCACGCAUCAGCAAAUCCUUGGAUUCUCGACUCUGGACCAUCUCACCACAUAACUGAUAAUCCUCACAACUUGCAGGAAUACAAUGGCAUGUAGCAGGUCUCAAUGGGUGAUGGACCUGGAAAUACGGAAUCUGUUGGUGCACGGUCGGAGUAGAGACGGUCUCUAUAAGUGGCCAACAUCACCUUCCAUAUCCUCUCCUAAAGCGCAUUUGGUCUCUACCAACACAUCCAUCUUCAACUGGCAUCGAUUGGGUCAUCCACACACAAGAGUUUUAAAUUUUGUUUUGAAUAAAUUUUCGCUACAAUGAUCGCGAGGCAAAUUUUUUGUUUGUAAUUCUUGUUCAUCGAAUAAGGCUCAUCGCCAUCCUUUUCAGAAUCUUAUUUUAUCAAGUACCAAAUCGUUUCAACAAUAUUUAGUGAUUUAUGGGGUCCUUCUCCGGUUUUAUCGAUUGACAAAAAAUCAUACUACUGUA